rnacentral:lncRNA from 1 species
AAAGUAUUUAAAGAAAUGAACCUACAGUUUUUGGAUGUGGCAAGUCCAACUGUAGUCCUCGUCGAUAUCAGUUAUCUACAAUCUAUUCUGAGCCUCAAAUGGGUGAAAAAGAGGGUGGUGAGAUUAUAAAAUCUCAGUGAGUAAACAAAUAUCAUUUAAAAUAUCUAAAGGCGAGUAAAAGGAGACUAUUAAAACAUUUCAUUAAACUGUAAUUUAUCAUCUUUCAACUUAUUUCAACCAAAUGAAAUCAAUUUAUUUAAAUCAAGUAAUCUGUAUGACUUAUGAAUUUCUUAAAAGCUUGGCUCACGCCAAAAAUUAUUAUCAUACUCAGUUAUCUGGGAUACCUUGACCGAGGGCUAUCCUAACUGAGUCCGCCAAGGCUAUUAGAAAGUCAUGUACGCAUAAAUCAUGUUUUUAUUUUGAAAACAUAGCCAUUUCUUGGCAUUGGCUGAGUUCCCCUUCACGUGGUGGUUUGGCGUGAAGUGAACUCUAAAAGUUAUACCUCGGGAGUUACCCUACUCGCCUCUCCAACUGAGGUAAAAUAUAACGGGUUUACCGUGCCCCACUAAUAGGCUAGUCCAUGGAAACCCGCCCACUGCAGUAAGCUACACCCACCAUACAAUAAAAUUUUGACAGCAUGACAGGGCUAAUAUAUUAUUACCCAGCCUGCAAGGGUAAAAUAAAGCAAUUCAUACAAUUCAUAAAACACAAUCCAGCUAGUCAUGCCAACACAUUAACAUAAGCCAUCAAUUCCAAUCAUAAAUUUACAACAUACCAGUGGUAUCCAAUUACUCUAUUUUUCAAAAUCAUUUUUUCAUUUCAAGACAAUUCAAAAAAUCAUUUUAUUUAAACAUAUUUUAUUUGUAAAACCAAAAAUUAACCAUUUAAACUCAUUUUCAUAAAAUUCCACCAAAACUGAUUAAAAACAUACUUUAGAUAAUUAAAAUGAUGAUAAGGUUACUCACAGUAUUAGGAGUUCGAUAUACUCCUAUUCCCGGUCUUCGGGCACAAUCUCUUUACUCUUAUUAGAGGGCUCACCACCUAUACAUCAUACGUGACAUGAAUUUUAAUAAAUUGUGUUAAUUUAUCAUAAACUAUUUCAGGCUCUAUAAAUCUAUAUGAAUGCACGAAAUGUGAUGCAAAAUGUCUGAAUAGCCGUUUAAAUACGGUGUUCGACCUAAUUCGCACUAUUCUCGGUGUAAUUGGCUAAAAUCUCCAACUUAACUCCAAAUCAAUUCUUCUCACUAUCUACACUCCAAUUAUACCUAAAUUACCUCAGUGACUGUGAAUGAGAUUCAAUUUAUCAAUCCCGGGUCAAUAAUCACACUUGUCUAUACGUUGAGCAAAAAUUCAUAUUUUCACACCAAAAUUUCCCAUUUAAUUUCUAAUCUCACCAAACAUCAAAUAUCACCAAAAUAUCAUGAAAUAUCAUCAAUUUUAGCCACAAUAUCCUCCUUAGGAAAUUUGGCUAUUGAUGGUUGAUGGGGAAAAUGAAUUCUUUUCUUGUUGUUUUGUUUCUAAAUAUACUAAACUAACUAAAAACACUAACAUAACUUAAAAUCAAAUCAAUCUAACAUCUUUCUCUCUCCAUGCCCAUUUUAACUAGCCAUAAAUUCACCAUGAAAACAUGAAAUCUAACCAUGAAAAAUAAGGAGAAAUGCAUGGGAAAGGUAGAUCACAAGUCAAAAUCAAUAAAUUUUACCUUUGAUUGUUUGAUUACUUGAAAUCCACUAAUUUUUCCUUGAAUUUUCCCACCUAGGGUUCUUGUUCUUCUUUUCCUCUCUUUGUUCUUGCUAUGGCCGGCCAUAAU